UGCUAUCAAAAGUCAGCAACAUCGCGAUAUAAUCAGUUCAAAAUCUACAUACACCACGAUAUUCAACAAGAAACUCGAAAUAUAAUUAUAAAAUUUAAAAAUAAAUUGAAAAUAUGAUCACAAUAUUAACAAGUAAACUAGCCAUAUAAUUACAAAUUCUUUUAACAAUCAAUUAACAAUAUAUUUACAAAAUUUAACAAUCAAUUGACAAUAUAAUUACAAUAUUAACAAGUAAACAAACCAUAUACUUACAAUAUUAUGAUUAGUACUAUCCACAUGCUUCUUAACUAAAAGAGACACCAAUUAACUCAGAGAUAUAAAAAAUACAAGAAAAUAAGUUAUAACCUUGAGAUUUUAACACAGCAGCAACUCACUAUAAAUUCAAUAUAAUAUCAAAAUCUAAGUGACAAACAAAACAACUCACUAUAAAUUCAAUACAAUGUAAAAAUCUAAGUGACAAACAAAAGUGAAGCAAUUAAUAUCAUGGUGAAAUCUAAAUGAAUAUUUUAAUCACAACACAAAUUAAUUACGUAAACAACAAUAAUCUCAAAUGGAAAUUGGAAUUGAAAUAUUACCCCCACAGAACAUAUACACUACUGCAUCCAGUAAUUGUUGCAUAAUCAAAACAAUAUGGAAUCCGGCGAUGUCGCGACAUGAACAAUAUCAGAUCCAAACCUUGAAUCAAACUCAUAACCUACAUAAAAACAGACAGCAAUCCAAACAGAAUAGAAACACAAAGUUCACAUAUUCGAAAUCGAAAAAGCAGAGUUGAAUUAAAAAUGAGAAUUCAGAAUCGAAUUUUGCUGUAAGUUACUACACAAUGGUAUUGUUCAAAAGAGAUUCAAGCCCUCUUCUCAAGUUGAGUUAGCUCAAAAUCAACAUUAUGGUUCACCGAGAUUAUUUCGUAAGGCCGACACAGUUUUCAGAUCCACCAACAAGGGUAUCGUUCCCGCUCAAUUAAACUACUUAAAGACCAUCAAUCUAGACAAAUUCAUCCACAUCAAGAGGAUCGAAAUCAGAAGCAUUGAUCAUAUGAGCCAAUUAAACAUGAAACUCUUCUUCCUAUAAAAGAUUGAAAUCCAUCGCACCUCGAUGUCGUUGUUUGAACGGUUAUGAAUAACGGUUGGAUAGGGAGACAAUGAAAGACAAGGAAUAUGUUUCAAAAUUUAUUUCACGGCAGUUUGAAAGAAAUGGUAUGCGUUUGGUGGAUGGUUGAAGUGUCGAUGAAAUUGGGUCUGACAAAAAGGAUUGUAGACGUUUGGAAAGGGUGACGGAGUGUAACAAUGGCGGAGGGAGAUGUCGCACAGAGCACGAUGGUGUGUGGUUUGUUUGGAGGGUGCGGUUAUGAUGGGUUUCGCUGUAGCUUUUGUGUGGCUGAGAUGAAUCUCACAUGGUUUGGAAGGAGUUUUAAGAAAAAACUCUUGGAGAGAGGAUCUCAACCUUUUUUUAUCGUGACGGAGCCAUCUUCUCCUUCUGCAUUCUUUCUAUUCAUUUCUUUUAUAAAAAUAAAUAUUUUCUUUUUCUUUCCCUUCAAGAGAGCCACUAGCGCCUGCUGAGUCAAAAACAAAUUCUAAGAACUCCCCCACUUUACAUGCGUGUGAGUUCAAGAGGAUUCAUGUGUGUUUCUUUGCCUCUUUCUUUUUGUGAGGUGUCAAACGGCCAUUGGUUGAGAAGGAUAAUUGAGGAUAGGGAUCCAAGUAUUUUUUAAUUAGGACCAUUGAUUAAAUUGAUCCAAUGGACAAGAUCAACACAAAGAAACACAAAAUAAAUCUACCAAAAAAAUGGCCACAUUGCCCUUGGGUAUUUUAAAAGAUUAAAAUAAAUUUAAAAUGCAAUAAAAUGAAUAAAACUCAAAUCUUUUUAAAUAGAGGAAAUAAAAAUUAACCGAUUAUUUGCUUAACUCUAUUUAUUAUACUUUUUUUUGGUUAUUUCGAUAAAAAACAAAAAUAAAAGGGACUAAUACGAAUAAAAAAGAAGUGCUCGAAAAAUUAAAAUGGAUGCACUAUAAUGAUCAGCGCGAAAUGAACUUCUAGAAAACAUACAAGUUUUGGUCAAAUUUUGAAAUAAAAAAUGAUCGGUAAAAAGGCUCAGGCGGAUAAAAAUGUGACAGAAAAAGUAGUCAAAAAAUUAAAAUGAGCAUGUCAGGUUAAACUACAUGAACCGUAGAUUAAGAAAGUGGAUGUCUGCAAGUUUAAUUUUGAAAAUUUUCGCCUGCUAAUUCGACGUACAGUUGAGAAACGGUGCGAACGAUCUGUCUGUGGAUCCAGAAAAUUAUUUUGUGUGACAUUUUAAGUGUUAUACAAAACAAAAUACAUGUUGUGGCAAGUAUACAAAUGCAGACGUCUUGUAAAUGAACUGAAUUGUUGACUGAAUAAACUAGAAUGGACAAUCAGAUGCAAAUUAAUCAUCCUUGGAUCAUUUACUGCUGAUUCUCAAACACAAACAAAACCCUCUAAAGAUUUAGACGAUGACAACACUCUUGAUUAUCAUCUUCUGAACCUCUGAAACAAUAUACAACAGAAUGAAUGAUGCACUGAGAUUUGAGAAAUCAAAUCUUUUGAUUUCUCAAUCAACAAAUGACUGAAUGAAUGUCAUCAAGACUAGAUAAAUUUCCAGAAUUCUUGACUUUUCAUCUAAAUCCUGAUGAAUGCUUUUAACUGAUGAAAUGUGUGACAAGAUGGAUCGAUUCAUGUUAUGCUGAUACGAGUGAAAAAACUCAGGGUAAAAUUUAGGGUAUGACAGAGUCCAUGGUUUAUCUUCGGGCUUCACAGAGAGUAUUAUCUAGGCUCUGGACUUCAGCUUCCAAGGUUUGAAUGCGAGCUUCAUAUUCAUCAUUUUAUUCCUUUUGAAUCCUAGUUAAUUUUAGCCAAGUAUCCUUCCACUCAUCCCUUUGGUGCCAAGCUCAGCCCAAUUCCUCUUUGUGUACACUAUGCUUGAGCUAACAACCAUGAGGUCAACAUAUGCUUGUUCUUUCUUUUCCCCUUCCAAUCUGGUCCUUUCCUCACUCCUUUUGAGUUGUUCUAAAGCUACAUUAAGGUCUCUAUCCAAUUGAUUCUUCUCACAUGUAGUCUUGUAAAAAUUCUCCUAUAACUCUUCCUUUUCCUUCUUUAGCUGAAGAAUAGUGGAGUUGAGGUUGUUUCCCUUCUCCACGGAGAUCAUAUUAGGAAUAAGAGCCUUUGAUGCAACUGGACCCUCUUAAAUGAAAGGUAACUUUGUUAUACGUACCGUUUCCUUCAUCCACUGAGCAUAAGGUACAGUAGGCUCUUAUCUUGGUCUCUUUAGGAUUCCCUGGUUGAGUUGUCCCUAAGCAUGAAUGAUCCUUUGGAUGGUGGGAUGGUGCCUGUUUUUUUCUUGUAAGAUGAAACCCUCCAAUAAUUUAUCUUCAGGUUUAUAUGCUAAAGGAUGCCCUUAUUGUCUUGCAACCAAUAUGGGGCCCACUUAUGCCUGUUCAUUCCUUCAAUGGUGGUUAUAUUCGUAGGCAGGUGAGAAAUAAGCCACUUAUAAAGUAGAAAUGUACAACACAUCAUCAUACCUCCCCUCUUGGUAUGUCUUUGGUAUAGGGUAUAAUAAACAUCAACAANAGUGGAUGUCUGCAAGUUUAAUUUUGAAAAUUUUCGCCUGCUAAUUCGACGUACAGUUGAGAAACGGUGCGAACGAUCUGUCUGUGGAUCCAGAAAAUUAUUUUGUGUGACAUUUUAAGUGUUAUACAAAACAAAAUACAUGUUGUGGCAAGUAUACAAAUGCAGACGUCUUGUAAAUGAACUGAAUUGUUGACUGAAUAAACUAGAAUGGACAAUCAGAUGCAAAUUAAUCAUCCUUGGAUCAUUUACUGCUGAUUCUCAAACACAAACAAAACCCUCUAAAGAUUUAGACGAUGACAACACUCUUGAUUAUCAUCUUCUGAACCUCUGAAACAAUAUACAACAGAAUGAAUGAUGCACUGAGAUUUGAGAAAUCAAAUCUUUUGAUUUCUCAAUCAACAAAUGACUGAAUGAAUGUCAUCAAGACUAGAUAAAUUUCCAGAAUUCUUGACUUUUCAUCUAAAUCCUGAUGAAUGCUUUUAACUGAUGAAAUGUGCGACAAGAUGGAUCGAUUCAUGUUAUGCUGAUACGAGUGAAAAAACUCAGGGUAAAAUUUAGGGUAUGACAGCUGCCCCUAUUUAAACAUCUUUAUCUAGAGGAUAUGAAGAGCUCUUGUCUUCAAAUCAUCAUGGUAAAAGAUAGUUUAAAUACCAAACAUACCCAAAUUUUUCCCUUCUAUGCAAAAGAAAGAUAUGUUUAUGAUUAAGAUUGAAUGCGCAUGGAUUAACAAAUAUGCGUGAUUCCCUAAUCGUCAAAUGUUAAAGCAAAAUGGAUGCAACGAGAUUGAGGAAAUACUCUUGAUUUCCUAACCGUAGGGUGAUAUGAAUGUAAUUAAGGUGAAGAAAUACUCUUGACUUCUUAAAUAUGAAUGUAAAUGAAAAUGUAUGAGUUAAGAAAUACUCUCGAUUUCUUAAUCAUGAAUGUAAAUGAGUUGAGAAAUACUCUUGAUUUCUCAUAUGAUAUGCAACUGAGUUAAGAAAUACUCUUGAUUUCCUAGUCAUGCGAACGUAGAUGAGUUAAGAAACACUCUUGAUUUCCUAGUCAUGACUGUAAAUGAAUUGAGAAAUACUCUUGAUUUCUCAAAUGAUAUGCAGAUGAAUUAAGAAAUACUCUUGAUUCCUUAAUCAUGACUAUAAAUGAAUUAAGAAAUACUCUUGAUUUCUUAAAUAAUAUGCAGAUGAAUUAAGAAAUACUCUUGAUUUCCUAGUCAUGACUGUAAAUGAAUUUGGAAAUACUCUUGAUUUCUCAAAUGAUAUGCAGAUGAAUUAAGAAAUACUCUUGAUUCCUUAAUCAUGACUCUAAAUGAAUUGAGAAAUACUCUUGAUUUCUCAAAUGAUAUGAAGAUGAAUUAAGAAAUACUCUUGAUUCCUUAAUCAUGACUAUAAAUGAAUUGAGAAAUACUCUUGAUUUCUCAAAUGAUAUGCAGGUGAAUUAAGAAAUACUCUUGAUUCCUUAAUCAUGACUAUAAAUGAAUUGAGAAAUACUCUUGAUUUAUCAAAUGAUAUGCAGGUGAAUUAAGAAAUACUCUUGAUUCCUUAAUCAUGACUAUAAAUGAAUUGAGAAAUACUCUUGAUUUCUCAAAUGAUAUGCAAAUGAAUUAAGAAAUACUUCUUGAUUCUUUAAUCAUGACUAGAAAUGAAUUGAGAAAUACUCUUGAUUUCUCAAAUGAUAUGCAGGUGAAUUAAGAAAUACUCUUGAUUCCUUAAUCAUGACUAUAAAUGAAUUGAGAAAUACUCUUGAUUUCUCAAAUGAUAUGCAAAUGAAUUAAGAAAUACUUCUUGAUUCUUUAAUCAUGAAUGUAAAUUAAUUGAGAAAUACUCUUGAUUUCUCGUAUGAUAUGCAACUGAGUUAAGAAAUACUCUUGAUUUCUUAAUCAUGAAUGUAAAUGAGAAAUGCUCUUGAUUUCUCAGAUGACAUGCAAAUGACUAGGGAUGAGAGAAUCAUGUCCAGUUGCUCUUGAUUGACAUUAGGUCUCUAGGAUGGAUUUGUUAUAAGGUAACAUGAUCGACUGGUCUUCAGACGUUCUUCGUUGAAGGCAGACACUCCUGGGGGAAUAAAUGAUCAUAUUCAGCUGCUUUUGGCUAAAGAUGUCAUAUUAAGCAAAUCUUGGCUGAAACUUAUGCAUUCAACGACUCUUGGUUGAAGCAAAAACUGUAAAAAUAAAAAAUAACAUCCAACUUCUCUUGGUUGAUGCAAACUGCAUAAAAUAAAAUGGUGUUCAACUGCUCUUGGAUGAAACAAAUGCAUUCAACUGCUCUUGGUUGAAGCAAACUGUUGAAAAUAAAAUAAAAUGGUGUCCAACUGCUCUUGGGUGAAGCUACUGCAUUCAACAGCUCUUGGUUGAAGCAAACUGCUAGAAAAUAAAAUAGUAGUCAGUUGCUCUUGGCUGAAACUAAUGUCUUCAACUGUUGUUGGUAGAUGCAAAUUGCUGGGAAAUAAACAAAAUACUUCCUUUGGGGAAUAACCGCAUGUUCAGCUGCUCUUGGCUGACAGAAGACUCUUUUGGAGAAUGAGAAGAUCUCGUAGAUUUGUUGGGGAUGAAAGGUUAAUGCUAUCCAAAAGGCUUAGCAUUACUCUCAAUUAUCAAACUGAAUGAUCCAAUCCAAUGCUUCUUCAAAGAGUAGAUCAGUAAGGACAACUUGCUUUGUUGGGUAUUAACUGAAGUAAUCUGCUGGGGAAUACAAGAGACUCUUUGGUAAAUAAAUGCACAGGAGACUCGCUGGAGAUUUACUGAGGAACCUUCAGUAGAGCUUGUCUAUUAUGGAACUCUUGUCCAUUAAACUCACUGGGGAUAUUUCUGGUUGGUGAAGAGAUGUCUAUCUUAGACAGCCACUUCAAAGAGACUUGUUGAAGAUAAUGUUGCUAGGAUACCUUUCUCAAGCAAUCCUGCUGGUAUGAAACUCGCCUGAGGAGUUCAUGAAGUUUUGAUGGAGAAAAUUACAGGGUUAACUCUAUGGGGAAUAACUACUGGGGAAACCAAGCAGAAAUUUCGUUGACACCAGAGUUCCAAUGAGAGAAUAUCAAUCACGUUGUUGGGGAAUAAACUCGCCUUGAGAGUAAUCACUUAAAAAUGAUUGACUUCUGUAAGUGUUUACUGAAGAAAAGAAAAUUUCUACUUUUAAGAAACAACUCUUGCAUCUUGGUCUGCUGAGGAUUAUAUUGAACUUCCUUUAGAGGUUGCUGAAUCCGGCUGAGGUUUAUGCAUGAUCUGUUUUUGUACAUGAUAUGCAAAAUGAAUGGGAAUGCAUGAAUAUAUUAGUUUAUGCAUUUUGUGGGUAUCAAGCUCAGAUUCCCCAAUAACACUGGCUUUGAACAGUUUUGACACCGUGAAGAUGAUUUGCAAAACUUUGAUUUCUACUUUUCCGCUUGGAGGGCUUCAGUUGGGAACUCUUGUCUUUGGAAGAAUAGAGAACUCCGACUUUCUCAGAUCAUGGUGAUCGUUGAGAUAUUUCACAUCUUGUGAACUUAUCAUGCCCCUUCUUAUUGGGCCUUUGAAAAACAAAUUGACAAUUGCUUUCCAAAAUCUUACCGGAAGAUGGCUUGCCCCACCAUUAUGAAUCCUACAGCAGAAUUCCCCUGAGUGACUAAAUUUUGGAAUGGAGAGCUUCACUGUACUAUGGAUAUGGCUUGCCUCAGCAUGAGCCUCGAAGAGACCUAUUACGUCUCGAAGUGAUUGCCCUAGAAUCGCUGAAUCUUGAAACGACUUGCACCAAGCUGACUGCUCUUUGGAGGAAUUUCCAUGAUGCUAGUUUGUGAUUUGCAAAUAAAAUUGUUCAUUCAAAAAAUGGUAAUUUUAAUGCAGUGCUUAUGCAAAUUUUGAAAUCAAUCAUUAUUGAAAUGAAUGGUGAUAUAUAGUGAACAGAUCACUAGUUUAUUCAAAGUGUGACAGACAACGAGAUAUGAUACCAAUAAAGAUGAUUUAGCAAAUAUCUAGGAGUCAAGUUAACGCAACCUUGCUGAGUAUGCUUUCAAAAGAAAUCUUGCUUUAAUUAGGUCUUUUGAGGGUUGUAAUGUGGCCUGGUUCACGGUUUUGAACAAAAGGAUAUGAGGCUCAAAAUUUAAUUUUAACCCACCCCUUCUUCAUGAUGAUCUCCAAUCUUAUAUUCAGUUAAUUUGACAAACGCGUUCAACUUCCAAGAGAGUUUGAAAGUGUGAAGUUGGUGGCUUAAGAAUCAAUGGUGAUCAUUCAUUUGAGGUUGCAGUCACUUGUCUUUGGUAAUCACAAAAAUUUGUUUAUGUUUAGGAAUUUUUGGUGACCCUUUGGUUCUUGAUUUGAUGGUCACAUUUUUUUAUUCUUUCCCUUUCUUUCUUCUUUUCCCUAACUUUUGCGUGGAAUGGUUAUUUUGAACUCUCAGUCCACCGGGAUGCCCUAAUUUUUUCCUAAGUCAGCUUCUUGGUGUUCGACUUAGCAGGCUCUUUAUCUUUUUUUCUUUUUCAACUGAUUAUGAUUGUCAUGUCAUUGGUUUAUUGAGGAAUAACCAUAAUAUCUUUCGAUUUUUAUGUUUGAUUCGACACUUCUAGAUGUGUGAAGAAAAGCAUGUGGUUACACCUCUUUAGGUGUUUGGAAUGAUUCUCUUGAACUUUGAAUGCAUAGUCGAAUUAACUGAAAACUACCCUGCCCCGGGUUCAAAAUAAAGGGUUUUUUCGUUUAGAAAGAAACUCCAACCUCUAUGCUCAAAGGGGUUGACGAGGGAUUAUCUUCCUUAUAUCUCCGGUGUUUAGGAGUUGAAAUAAUGCCUUACAUCAUCAACAAAGAUUGUUUGAAAACAUACUUGUCAGCAAUUUUGGUUUUUUUUCAUCAUCCUCCCUCAAAUCUUUGCUAAAACAACAGUUUGAUAAAGAAAGGUUAAUGGGAGAAGUACUUUUUUGUUUUUGAUAUAUAAAAAAAUGAGUGAAUACGACAUGAUUGAUUCAGAAAAUGCAUGAUCACUUCAUUAAUAUUACAAUUGAAAGAAAACAAUACUUAAAAGCAAAUACACAUUAAAUUUUGCAAAGGAAAUACAAAUGAAAAACGACAGUAGCCAAAUGAUUUCUACUGUUAUGGAUGAGCUUUCUCGCUUGAUUCAUUGUAGGGGUGUCCUUCUUCAUAGUUGGUUCAUCUGAUUCUUUAUUAAGCCAACAUCUUCUCUUAACACAAACUAGAUUUGAUCCCCUAGGUCCAUGAUCCUUUGAAAGUUGCUUUGAGUCUGAUACGGGUGUCAGGAAAUCAAGUACGGAUUAUGGACAAAGGAUGGAAUGAGUUUUUUUUGUGAAUGUGUGCAUAUGCAUGUUUGAUACAUGCAGACGCGACAACUUUUUAUGAUCAUAUUAUGUAUGUUAUGACAAUGAAAUGCUCAUGUAUAUGUAUGCACAUUUGAGUACAUGAUCAUUAAACAUUAUGAUUAAUUACUUCAUGGAGGAAAUGUUACAGGAAAAGGGAAUCCAAACACAGGUAGGCUCUAGGCUUUAAAAAGGUUCCUAGAGUCAUGGACCCUAUUCAAGAAUACUAUCAUCAGAACGACUAAUCGUAAGACAAUAAUAUCUUAAAGAGGAUCUAUUCUAGGUGAGGUCUUUAUAUUAACCCAAUGAGUCCUAAGUCUCAUAGGUCAAUACUACACAACCAUCGACUCCACGGUUCUAGACACGGUUCCCAGAGUCAUGGAUCACAUCUGACAAUAUUAUCGUCAGAACGACUACUCGUAAGACAAUAAUAUCCUAAAAAAUGAUCUAUUUUGAGUGAGGUUUUCGCAAUAACCCAACGAGUCCUAAGUCUCAUAGGUCAGCACUACACAACCAUCGGUCCUAAAAGCCAUAGGUUCAGGGUUCUACAAAAGGUCCUCAGAAUCAUAGAUCGAGGUUGAAAGUAUCACAACCAAAACGACUAAUCGUAAGAUAGUAAUACUUUCAAGGGAUCUCAUCUGAGUGGGGUUCUCGCAUCAACCUAACGAGUCCGAUGUCUCGCAGGUCAAUACCACACAACCACCAUCCUAACUUGAGUUUUCUCAUAGCUCGGGUAUUAAGCUUUUCCUCACACAAAUGCCAAUAGUCCAGAAAGUUCCAAUGAUACCAUAUAUCAAUAAUACAGAAAAUGGAAAUACAGAUAAUAAAGGCAUAUAUAGAUAAAACAAAUAAGUAGCAAAUAAACAGAUAAAAGCAAAAACUCAAACACAAAACAAACUAAAUUAGGGUGGACUCGCAUAGGAGAAAUAUCUCCCCAGCAGAGUCGCCAACUGUCGCGGCGCGAAAAAUACCCAAGCGUAGGGAACGCUCGAAAUAUAAAUAAAACAGAGUCGCCACCGAACUUUAUUUAUUCCCAAAGAGGGAAAGGGGAAAUAUCGAUAAAACCCACAAAAAUAAAAAAGAAAUGGUCGUCGCAACCAAAUCGGGUUUGGGAGUCGGUUAUGCAAGGGGAAGGUAUUAGCACCCCUCACAUCCAUCGUACUCGAUGGGACCCAUUUAGUUAGUUUCGUGUUAGAGUGUUAGCGUGAUACCGUUUGUAAACUUCUACUUAUCGAGUGAGAAAAGAGAAAGAAAGAAAGGAAAGACUUAAGGUUUUUUAAUAAUAAUGUGCCUGACAAGAUUUCGCAAUCCUGCUCCUACAUAUCUUCAGGUGCUAUGAAGAACUCAAGGCAAACGUAGUUCUACCCAAAGAGAACUACUGGGUGGAUUUCUUUUAAAGAGAGUGAUGCUUGGGUCACAUUUGAGCGAUUAAACCUUUACUUGCUGCUCACUCUUAGAGGCUGAAGUCUUUGUUUGUUUCGCAUCAAAAUAGAUGUUGCAUACUCUUUUCUGAAAAUGUUUUCGGGGUCGCACGAGGGCGGAAAAUAAGUUUGAUGAGUUUGAGUUGAUUUUAAGCGGAGACAGGCAUCCAAGCAGGGAGCUCUACUGCAGUACUCGAAUGCCCGAAAAGGAAGAGGCCUAAGCCCAAUCACUUUCUUUUCAUCCAAAAGUUUAUUAUGAAAAUGUAUGGCAAAUUAGGCCAAAGUUCAUUAACGGAAGACGAUUAAUCAGACAUAGAGCUCUACAGCAGUGUCAAAAUAAUCGGGAAAGAGAAGGUCGAUACUCAAUCAAUCUUUUUCUUCUAUAAGAGAAAUUACCUAAUUCUAAUAAAUAACAUAUUUUUAGCAUGGAAGAUGAAUGUUCGGACAGAGAGCUCUACAGCAUUGCCCAAACAUUCGAGGAAGGAAAAAGGUCUAAAUCCAAUCUCUCAUUUUUUCGUCCAAGUUGUUGUAAAAAAUGAGUUUAAAAGGUUUUAAUUGAAAUGAUAUUGAAUGGGUCGGUUUGAAAAUGUUAUUGAAAGGAUAAUGAAACAAUUUUUUUGAAAUAGUGAUGACAUAAGUCGAUUAAUUUUUUAAUUAACAAAUCUAUUGAUUAAAAAUUUAAUUAAACCACUUAAUUAAUCUAAUUAAAUUAAUUAUCAAAAUUAUUUGAUUAAGUCAAAUAUUCAAGAUAAUUAAAAUUAAUUAUCAGAAUUAACUAAUUUAAACAAAUUUUAAUUAACCAAUUAAAUUAAUUAAAACAAAAUCGGUUUAAAAGUGAUUCCAACAAAUUAACCAUAAUAUGCUCAAAACAACAUAAAACUUCCAAAUCCGCAAAUUGAAAUUUUGACUUUAAACGCAACAAAAAUCAAACCGCCACAACAUAAUAUUAUUUACAAAAUUUAUGAUAUGCUAUCAAAAGUCAGCAACAUCGCGAUAUAAUCAGUUCAAAAUCUACAUACACCACGAUAUUCAACAAGAAACUCGAAAUAUAAUUAUAAAAUUUAAAAAUAAAUUGAAAAUAUGAUCACAAUAUUAACAAGUAAACUAGCCAUAUAAUUACAAAUUCUUUUAACAAUCAAUUAACAAUAUAUUUACAAAAUUUAACAAUCAAUUGACAAUAUAAUUACAAUAUUAACAAGUAAACAAACCAUAUACUUACAAUAUUAUGAUUAGUACUAUCCACAUGCUUCUUAACUAAAAGAGACACCAAUUAACUCAGAGAUAUAAAAAAUACAAGAAAAUAAGUUAUAACCUUGAGAUUUUAACACAGCAGCAACUCACUAUAAAUUCAAUAUAAUAUCAAAAUCUAAGUGACAAACAAAACAACUCACUAUAAAUUCAAUACAAUGUAAAAAUCUAAGUGACAAACAAAAGUGAAGCAAUUAAUAUCAUGGUGAAAUCUAAAUGAAUAUUUUAAUCACAACACAAAUUAAUUACGUAAACAACAAUAAUCUCAAAUGGAAAUUGGAAUUGAAAUAUUACCCCCACAGAACAUAUACACUACUGCAUCCAGUAAUUGUUGCAUAAUCAAAACAAUAUGGAAUCCGGCGAUGUCGCGACAUGAACAAUAUCAGAUCCAAACCUUGAAUCAAACUCAUAACCUACAUAAAAACAGACAGCAAUCCAAACAGAAUAGAAACACAAAGUUCACAUAUUCGAAAUCGAAAAAGCAGAGUUGAAUUAAAAAUGAGAAUUCAGAAUCGAAUUUUGCUGUAAGUUACUACACAAUGGUAUUGUUCAAAAGAGAUUCAAGCCCUCUUCUCAAGUUGAGUUAGCUCAAAAUCAACAUUAUGGUUCACCGAGAUUAUUUCGUAAGGCCGACACAGUUUUCAGAUCCACCAACAAGGGUAUCGUUCCCGCUCAAUUAAACUACUUAAAGACCAUCAAUCUAGACAAAUUCAUCCACAUCAAGAGGAUCGAAAUCAGAAGCAUUGAUCAUAUGAGCCAAUUAAACAUGAAACUCUUCUUCCUGUAAAAGAUUGAAAUCCAUCGCACCUCGAUGUCGUUGUUUGAACGGUUAUGAAUAACGGUUGGAUAGGGAGACAAUGAAAGACAAGGAAUAUGUUUCAAAAUUUAUUUCACGGCAGUUUGAAAGAAAUGGUAUGCGUUUGGUGGAUGGUUGAAGUGUCGAUGAAAUUGGGUCUGACAAAAAGGAUUGUAGACGUUUGGAAAGGGUGACGGAGUGUAACAAUGGCGGAGGGAGAUGUCGCACAGAGCACGAUGGUGUGUGGUUUGUUUGGAGGGUGCGGUUAUGAUGGGUUUCGCUGUAGCUUUUGUGUGGCUGAGAUGAAUCUCACAUGGUUUGGAAGGAGUUUUAAGAAAAAACUCUUGGAGAGAGGAUCUCAACCUUUUUUUAUCGUGACGGAGCCAUCUUCUCCUUCUGCAUUCUUUCUAUUCAUUUCUUUUAUAAAAAUAAAUAUUUUCUUUUUCUUUCCCUUCAAGAGAGCCACUAGCGCCUGCUGAGUCAAAAACAAAUUCUAAGAACUCCCCCACUUUACAUGCGUGUGAGUUCAAGAGGAUUCAUGUGUGUUUCUUUGCCUCUUUCUUUUUGUGAGGUGUCAAACGGCCAUUGGUUGAGAAGGAUAAUUGAGGAUAGGGAUCCAAGUAUUUUU
rnacentral:lncRNA from 1 species